rnacentral:rRNA from 2 species
AACGAACGCUGGCGGCAGGCUUAACACAUGCAAGUCGAACGCGUGUAGCAAUACACGAGUGGCGCACGGGUGAGUAACGCGUGGAUAUCUGCCUUUUGGUUCGGAAUAACCCCGGGAAACUGGGGCUAAUACCGGAUGGUUCCUUCGGGAUAAAGAUUUAUCGCCAAAAGAUGAGUCCGCGUACGAUUAGCUAGUUGGUGAGGUAAUGGCUCACCAAGGCGACGAUCGUUAGCUGGUCUGAGAGGACGAUCAGCCACACUGGGACUGAGACACGGCCCAGACUCCUACGGGAGGCAGCAGUGGGGAAUAUUGGACAAUGGGGGCAACCCUGAUCCAGCCAUGCCGCGUGAGUGAUGAAGGCCUUCGGGUUGUAAAGCUCUUUUGGCGGGGACGAUGAUGACGGUAC